GUACCCGUAGUUCAACUGGAUAGAAUGCCUGAUUACGAAUCAGGAGGUUACAGGUUCAACUCCUGUCGGGUACA
rnacentral:tRNA from 1 species